rnacentral:rRNA from 1 species
AACGAACGCUGGCGGCAUGCCUAACACAUGCAAGUCGAACGAGACCUUCGGGUCUAGUGGCGCACGGGUGCGUAACGCGUGGGAACCUGCCCUUAGGUUCGGAAUAACUCCCCGAAAGGGGUGCUAAUACCGGAUAAUGUCUUCGGACCAAAGAUUUAUCGCCUUUGGAUGGGCCCGCGUUGGAUUAGCUAGUUGGUAGGGUAAAAGCCUACCAAGGCGACGAUCCAUAGCUGGUCUGAGAGGAUGAUCAGCCACACUGGGACUGAGACACGGCCCAGACUCCGACGGGAGGGAGGAGUGGGGAAUAAUAGACAAUGGGCGAAAGCCUGAUCCAGCCAUGGCGCGUGAGUGAUGAAGGCCUUAGGGUUGUAAAGCUCGUUUACCCGGGAUGAUAAUGACAGUACCGGGAGAAUAAGCUCCGGCUAACUCCGUG